AAAGCCCGUCCAGUAGAGCCUGACCAGCAACUGGAAGAGAGUCUUGCGUGGUGGCAGGGUAACCUGUCCUGCGAAGCGUAGAUAUCGAGUCCGAAAGCCAUGCUAUUGAGCGUCGAAAGACCAUUCGUGGGAGCCUUUGCCUUUGUACCACCAAGGGCCACGCUGCGGUACCGUUAUGGUCUGGUAUCAACAGUCCUGCCGGCGUCGGAAUGGA
rnacentral:ncRNA from 1 species